AAUAGGAAGAUACUCCUUAUUUUCUCCUUUCUCCAGCAUAAGUUUCUCUGCCUUCUUAACCACAUUUAGUACUCGUGGUUGCAGUUCUUCUGUUCUGUAAGCUCCAACACCAAGGUUGAGUUUCAGAUCACUAGUAUCGGCCCUGAAUGCUUCAGAAACCCCAAGAAUUGGGUCAGGAGGGGCCAUAGUCACACCCUCAAAACGAGAAACCUUAACCGCCGCCACCAUACUUACUCGACCAGAACUCUUUCCCUGGCGAAAGAGAUCGCGAUUUCUCCUCGGGAUUCCAAGCGCGAGCUUCUUUGGAGCCAAAGAGGCCGGGGCGGCGGCGAGCGAGCUGACAGCGGGCGAGAUCGGCGCCG
rnacentral:misc_RNA from 1 species